rnacentral:rRNA from 1 species
GACGAACGCUGGCGGCGUGCUUAACACAUGCAAGUCGAACGGAAAGGCCUGCUUUCCCUUGUGGAUUGCGGGUACUCGAGUGGCGAACGGGUGAGUAACACGUGAGUGAUCUGCCCCCAACUUGGGUAUAAGCCUGGGAAACUGGGUCUAAUUCCCGAUAGGACUGCAGGGUGGUGCCUGUGGUGGAAAACGAUUUUCUAGUGGUUGGGGAUGAGCUCGCGGCCUAUCAGCUUGUUGGUGGGGUAAUGGCCUACCAAGGCGGCGACGGGUAGCCGGCCUGAGAGGGUGGACGGCCACAUUGGGACUGGGAUACGGCCCAGACGCCUACGGGAGGCAGCAGUGGGGAAUAUUGCACAAUGGGCGGAAGCCUGAUGCAGCGACGCAGCGUGGGGGAUGACGGCCUUCGGGUUGUAAACUCCUUUCGACCGAGAGGAAGCCACCUGGUUGGAAGGGUGGUGACGGUAGUGGUAGAAGAAGCACCGGCUAACUACGUG